rnacentral:lncRNA from 1 species
UAUAAUCGAUCCUGUCUCUGUAUAUAUAUUGCUGGUUAAUGCAGAGCCUUUUUUGUAAUGUUGAGUGCACUGCAACCAAUGAUCAUGAGUGGUGAUAUCAUAUUCUUCUGUACAAUCGUUCAUCCCAAUUUGCAGAGACACCAUAAUGGAGUACAUAAGAGAAGUCACAAAAUUGGGUGAGUUCUGUUUGAAAUACUAUCAAUGGCUCUAGGAUUGAAGCCUGAAUAUUUGAAAGAUAUGGGAUGCUUCAAUUUAUACCUCAUUGUCUGCAACUACCAUCCGCACUGCCCACAGCCAGAGCUGACUUUGGGAGCUAGAAGGCACUCUGAUCCUCAUUCCUUACAAUUCUGUUGCAAGACCAAAUCUGUGGCCUUCAAGUCUUUCAUGAAAAUCCAUGAAAAUCAGUGGAUUGAUGUUAACCCUAUAUCAGGAGACUUGAUAGUAAAUAUAGGGGGCUUUCUCUAGGUUUGUCUUUGAAAAUAAUAGAGACAACUAAUCUUCCCAUCAUCUGCUUAAUUUUCGUGUUUUAAUAGUAACUAUAUAUGCUAAUUAAUGUUUUCAAUAAUUAAUUAAUUCAGGUUAUAUCAAACGAUAAGCUCAAGAGUGUUGACCAUAGAGUCGUGGCCAAUGUUCAUGCCACUGCAAGGGUUGCUGUGGCAUGCUUUUUCACAGGACAUGCUGCUGAAGCGCAGAAGCCCUUUGGACCGAUCAAAGAGUUGAUCUCUGAAGAAAAUCCACCUGUUUACAGAGAAUUUCUAGUGGGAGAAUAUAUGAGCAAAUGCUUUUCCAGAGAACUUCAAAGCAAAUCUGCUGGCCUCGAGCAGUUCAAGCUUUAAAAGCAGCAGUAUACUUGAAUAGAGUUCUCAAAUGCUGUAAAUUGAGUAUGUACUAAUGUUAAUAUCUGCCCUUGCCAAUAAUUUCAAACUACAUGUUUCAAAUAAGUAAGAGAUUUUAGAGUAUAUUAGAAGUACUACACUUAAUUAAUUGUUAAUUAUAUCUAAUUAAACUACACAUGCUAUAUAUAUAUAUAUAUAUAUAUAUAUAUUAAAUGUAGUACUUUUUAUGUACUCUUGACUCCGUUCCUGUGUUUGUAGCAUCUUAUAUCUAUUGACAAGUUGAAAACUGUAGAGCACCGUGCUUAUAUCUAAUGACAAGUAAGCAAAAGAUCUAGACUGUACAGCACCGUGCUUUGGCAAAUCAUAUUGGCCCCAGAGUAUCUGUGGCUUGCUUUUUCACACCACAUCCUUAUCUGUGGCUUGCUUUUUAGCCAAGUGGAUGGUUGUGCUGGAGCCGUACUGGUGCACAUUGACAUCCAUGUGCUUCUCAAUGUUUGCCUUCACGCGUCGAAGUUGGAUUUGAAAGAAAAAGCAGAUGAACGAAAAACCAAUUAUGACGUUUAUUUACUUCUGGAAGGAAAAUUAUUUGAAUAUCUCUGCUGGAAGUUAACAUCCUUGAAUCCUUGACUGCGAGUGCAAUGGUGUGAUCUCUAUCAAGCAAUAAGUAAGCUUGAUUUUAAGCCAGGCCGUUUACAAAUUAUAACUAUCCAAUGUUUAUGCUCAUUAAUUAUUUUUGAUACUUAGUUGAAAAGUAUUAAUAUAAGCCAUAAGACUACCAUCUAUGCUCAUCAUUUUCUUGUCGAAAACAGACAAUGGAUAUCUCCGAUGCCAGUAGAACGACCACGCAAACUGUGACGGACUACGACAGAGCUAAAGAGGUUCAGGCUUUUGAUGAUACAAAAGCCGGUGUCAAAGGAUUAGUGGAUGCUGGAAUUGUGAAUAUUCCGAGGAUAUUCAUUCGACCGCCUGAGGAGCUUGUCGAGGAGUUGACCAGUCAUCAGACCAAUUCUCAAGUACCGGUUAUCGAUCUUGAUGGCGUCAGAGGCAAUAAGCUUGAGGAGAUUGUUGAUCAAGUUCGGGCUGCAGCAGAGACAUGGGGCUUCUUUCAAGUGGUGAAUCACGGUAUUCCCUUAAAUGUGUUGGAAGAGAUUAUUGAAGGGAUACGCAAGUUUAAUGAACAAGACGUUGAGUUGAAGAAAGAGUUUUAUACCCGUGACCGGGCAAGAAAUGUCAGAUUCAACAGCAACUUUGAUCUGCAUUACUCCCGGACAGCUAAUUGGAGGGACACGUUGACAAUUUCUGCUUUAGCUUCCACCGAUUUAGACCCCAACGAAUACCCAGAAGUUUGCAGGUACAUAAUUUGAUCACUCUCUAUGUAUAGCAUUAUCUCCCAACAUCUGAAUCCAACUGAUUGUUUAAUAUACAAUUGGAUACACUUUAUGGAAAAGCAUUGAGCUUGCUACCACAAGUUCUUAUAACAAGUUCAUUUGGCGCAAAAUUUGUUGAAGUUGAAAAAGUCUUAAUUGGGACAAACAGUUGCUGCAACUGCUGAGAUUUUAAGUUAAUUUUUAAGAAAUUAUCAUUCUACCUUAAAUUUAAUAAAUUGAUGGUUUUUCUCAAGAAAUUAUUUGCUGCUGCAUAUGAGCACCCCACUUUAUGCCCACUCAGGCAUUUAAUGAACACUUCAUAGAUAUUAUCAAACACCCGUGAACACCUUGUAAUAGACGUGAACACAAAUCAUCAACAGACAACCGACUAUAAGAGCAAUUUAUGUGUGGUUCAUUGAAUUGGCUUAUGUACAUCUAAGCUCCAAGCAUUCGAUAUCACAAAGUUGUUCUUCUAAACGAAUCAACAGUUUUGCAUUUUUACAGGUCUAUUGAACUUAAUUAAUUGGUGAUCGCAUUGAUAUUCCUUUUUCUUUUUCUUUUUUUCUGUUAAUCCGCAAUUGAUUGUAUAUUUUCCUGUACCAAUUGCUCCCAAAAAUUUGCAGAGAUGCUGUGAGAGAGUACAUUAAAAAUGUCACAAAAUUGGGUGAAACUCUGUUUGAAUUAUUAUCACUGGCUCUUGGGCUGAAGGCUGAACAUUUACAAGAGAUUGGAUGCCCUAAAGAAUACACCCUUCCCUGCCACUACUAUCCAUCUUGCCCUCAGCCAGAUUUGACAUUGGGAGCUACCGGGCAUUCAGACCCUUCAUUUCUUACCAUUCUUCUGCAAGACCAAAUCGGCGGCCUUCAAGUCUUUCAUGACAAUCAAUGGGUUGGUGUCCAACCCAUUGUGGGAGGCUUAGUGGUAAACAUAGGGGACUUCCUCGAGGUUUGUCUUUCACAAUUACAAUGAAUAUUUUUUCCACAAUCAUGCCAAUCUUCAUCAAUCAUCACGACAAUGAGGUGUCUUAAAAUUGAAUCAGGUUGUAUCAAACGACAAGUUCAAGAGUGUUAACCACAGAGUAGUCGCCGGUCAUGUCGGUCCAAGGGUUUCCGUGGCAUGCUUUUUCAUGGGACAUAAUGCAGAAAUCCCAAAGUCUUAUGGGCCGAUCAAAGAGUUGACAUCUGAAGAAAAUCCUCCUAUUUACAGAGAUUUUCUUCCAAGUGAAUGUUUUAGCAAACGAUUUUCUAUGGCGGUUGAUGACAAUUCUCUCCUCCAUCAGCUCAAGCUAUGAAGCCGACAGUAUUUGUAUUAAUUAUUCGUGUUUGUUACCAACAAUUUACAAAUUGCGGAGCCCUGUUGUGAACUCUUUCCCAGUAAUUCCGAAAAAAAUGUUUCAACUAAUUAAUAACGUAUGAAUCGUCCAAUGUUGCUCUUUACUUUCUUCAAUUAUUAGAAUGUCCCUCUGCACUGCUCCUUAUUAGUGUCAAAAUUGUUCAGCCAGCGCUCAGUACAUAUACUGGACUUUUUAUUGUUUUUAGAAUUUAGAAAGAGUCCGACUAUUGGCAGCCCUCUAUAAUCCUUAUAAAACCCGUCCUCUAUGAUAAUACAUUAAAGAACAAAAGAAAUCUAACUAAACCCUUAUAUUUUCUUUCUCUAACUCUUUACACCUAUAGAACUGUUAGGAAUAUUCUAGAAAGCUCCAGAUUUCUCCAGUAAGCUCAAGAUUGCUCAGGUUGUUGAGAAGCUCAGCUGAUGCUAAGAGAGUUAGUUAACACUCACGUGUGUGUGUAAGCCAGCAUGGCGUUAGACUGUUAUAAAUUGUACAGCUGUCAAAUUGUUAUUGGUGAUACAUUAGUUAAGUUUGUUAUGUAAGUGUAAUAUAAAUACUAGCCUCUGUAUUACUUCAUUCAGUUAAGUAAAAUGAAACAAACUUUCUUUCUUUCUCUAAUAUUUUCUCUUUGAUUGCUGGAAACCGAAAACUUUAUAACUUUCACAAGAACCAAUCCACUGUUUUUCAUAAUUUUUUUUUUCUCACAAACACUUUGCAUUUUUAUUAUUGUCAUUCUACAAAUAGAUUCUCACUCUUAUCGAUAAUCUCCUCAUUCAUUUUCAAUUUCUUAUAUAACCUUGAGCAAUAAACUUUUUUAAAACUAUAGAAAAUCCACUUUUAAUUCUAGUUAAUUCCAACAUACAUGAUUUUUUUUAAAGAGUUAAAUGUAUAUGAUUUAAUUGUUAACUCACGUGUGUGUGUGUGUGUUAACUCACGUGUGUGUGUAUAUAUAUAUAUAUAUAUAGCAAGUCACGUGUAUAUAUUAUUGGUUGUUAUGUGUUUCCUAGUUUGAUAGGAUUUCCUUGUGAACUAGGUAAUUCUUAUUUAGGGUAAUUCUUAUCAACUAAUGUACAUAUAAAUAUUGAUCAAUAGAGAACAAAGAGAAGGACAAAAAGGGUGGUUUUCCAUCGUGAAUUUCUUCAUGGUAUCAGAGCAUAAUGGAAGACCAAACAAAAACAAAAACAAAAACAAAAACAAAAGAUAAAGAGGCUAGCGGAAGUGGAUUGGGCAAGACAGUGAUGUCUCCUUACUUCCUUUCGGCCAAUGAUAAUCCUGGAACUAUCAUCACUUAGGUGCAACAUGAAGGAACCAACUAUGACGAGUGGGCAAGGGAUAUGCGGACUGCAUUGCACGCCAAGAAGAAAUUCGGUUUUGUUGAUGGAAUCGUGAAACAGCCUGCUGAUGACUCGGCUGAUUUGGAGGAUUGGUGGGUGGUGAAUUCAAUGUUGGUUUCCUGGAUACAGAAUACAAUUGAACUGAACCUGCGAUCUACUGUGACUUAUACAAAAGUUGCUAAGUUGUUGUGGGAUGAUAUCAAGGAACGGUUCUUUGUUAGCAAUGGACCAUGUGCGCAACAACUCAAAUUUGAGUUGGCAAAUUGCAAGCAGUGAGGUAUGACUAUUUUGAAUUAUUAUGGGAAACUCAAGAUGUUGUGGGAAGAAUUGGGUAAUUACGAACAAUCGCCUGCUUGUCUAUGCGGUAAUUGUACGUGUAAUCUAGGCGCGGAAUGAGAUAAGAAAUUAGAUGAAGAAAAAUUGCAUCAAUUCUUGAUGGGUCUUGAUGAAGCCCUGUACGGUGGUGUGCAGUCUCAUAUUCUAAGCACCGAGUCGCUGCUAAAGUUGAACCGUGCCUGUGCCAUAGUCAUUCUGAAGGAGCAGGUUCAGUCAAUGACACGUGCUAAAGAAGAACAGAGUGAACAUGUAGCAUUUGUCGUUCAAGCCGCGCAUGGAAUAUGACAACCUGGAUAAGUCUUCUGUACUUUGUACCCAUUGCAACAAGAUUGGACAUGAAGCAUCUUCUUGUUUCCAGCUUAUUGGGUAUCCUGAAUGGUGGGGUAAAUGGCCAAAAGCCAUGAGGAAUGCAGGUUGUGGUCGUGGCAAUUCACGACAGAAUGGUGGAAACAAUGGGCGUGGUCGUGGAGGUCCUGCUCGGGCCAACGCUGCUCAAGUCGCGACAGGGUCUAACAGUCCGUCUGAAGAACUCCUGGAAUCAGCCGCAAGCGGUCUCAGCGGUUUGAGCAGUGAACAAUGGAACACAUUACUUAAUCUUUUGAACAGUAAAAAAGACAGCACCUCACGGAUCAGUGGUAAGCUUAAUUCAAUGGAGUGGAUUCUUGAUACUGGGGCCUCACAUCACAUGACAGGAAAAAGAAAAAAUCUUAUGCGACAUUGUAUAUAUUAUUCCCUGUUCUAUUUAGCUGCCUGAUGGAAACACGACAAUGACAAAUACAGAAGGAACAGUUGUACUUGCUAGCCACCUGCGACUGAAUAAUGUUUAUUUGUGCCAAGUUUAACUUGCAAUUUAAUUUAUGUAUCGCAACUGAUUCGAGAUGCCAAUUGUUUUAUUCAAUUUUCUGAUCAAUUAUGUGUGAUCCGGGACCGCAUUACGAGGAUGCUAAUUGGAGCGGGUGAGCAACGAGAGGGACUCUAUUAUUUCCGGGACAUUGGUUCGGCCGCUGCUCUGUUUAGUGUUACCAACCGAGCUUAUGAUUUAUGGCAUCAAAGGUUGGGGCAUCCUUCUUCUAAAGUUGUUCAGUUGCUCCAUUUUAUUGAUUCGGCUUAUUGUCUGUCUAGUUUUCAGAAUUGUGAUAUAUACUUUCGAGCAAAACAGUGUCGUGGCAAAUUUGUGGGGACUUUAUCGCACAGCUAAUUCUUGUGGUGCUCAUUAUUUCUUGACUAUUGUUGAUGAUUUUUCUCACGGUGUUUGGACAUAUCUGCUAGUCGCGAAGAAUGAGGUUGGGCUUGUAUUACGCAUUUUUUUUAGUAUGGUCUCUAGACAAUUCCAUAAACUCGUUAAAAUCAUACGGAUAGACAAUGGGACAUAAUUUAUGUAUUUAUCUGAUUUAUUUGCUGAGCAUGGCAUUCAUCAUCAGACAUCUUGUGUGGGUACUUCUCAACAGAAUGGUCGAGUCAAACGCAAGCAUCGACACAAUCUUAAUGUUGCUCGUGCUCUGCGCUUUCAGGCUUUCUUACCAGAUGAAUUCUGGGGUGAAUGUGUGUUAACUGCUUGCUAUUUGAUCAAUCGAACACCUUAUGUUCUUCUUGACGGACGAACUCCUUAUGAACGACUAAAGAUUAUGUCUUGCAUACUGUUCAGCAUUUGAGUCCCUCUUUGCGGCCCCAUUCAUGCUCACAUGCUCAAUCACUUCCUGCAGGUAGUCCUUAUCCCAUACUUGAUUAUGUGAAUUGUAAUAAUUUUUCUGCUCGACAUUGUGCUUUUCUAGCAGCGAUUACUGUAGGAGUUGAGCCUGCCUCUUUUGCUGAGGCCAUGAGAGAUCCUAGAUGGCGUGAGGCCAUGAAGUCUGGAUUGCAAGCUCUGGAAAAUAAUAACACAUGGACUGUUGUGUCUCUACCACCUGGAAAACGUGCCAUAGGCUGUAAGUGGGUGUGCCGGAUUAAGUACAAUGCCGACGGUACAGUUGAAAGAUACAAAGCUCGCUUGGUGAUCCUUGGGAACAAGCAAGUUGAAGGAAUUGAUUACACAUAGACAUUUGCUCUUGUUGCAAAACUUGUUAUAGUUCGAACUUUUCUGGUUGUUGCUGCGGCUAGGAAUUGGGAGCUUCAUCAGAUGGAUGUUCACAAUGCUUUCUUACACGGUGAGCUCAAUGAAGAAGUUUACAUGCGCCUACCGCCUGGUUCCACCUCAAACAAAUCUGAAAUGGUUUGUCGUCUAAGAAAGUCAUUAUAUGGAUUAAAGCAAGCUCCACGUUGUUGGUUUGCAAAGUUGGCAGCGACUUUGAAGACUUACAGCUUUGCUCAAUCGAGCUUAGAUUAUUCUCUCUUUACCUUGUAUCGGGAUAGCAUACAUAUACUUGUGAUUGUGUAUGUUGACGAUAUAAUUGUUUCGGAAAACAACAGCGAAGCUAUUCGGGUGUUCAAGAUGUAUUUGAGUGAUUGUUUUUAUAUGAUAGAUUUGGGUCCAUUGAAAUAUUUUUUGGGUAUUGAAGUUGCAAGAAAUCCGACAGGAAUCUUCCUGUCUCAGCGGAAGUAUGUGUUAGAUAUUAUCUCUAAGGCGGGACUACUUGGUGCAAAACCGGACCCAUUUCCCUUGGAACCGAAUCAUCAGCUAGCUUUGGCCGAAGGCCUUUAUUUUUCUGAUCCUGUGAAAUAUCGACGACGCUUAGGCAGAUUAAUUUAUCUUUCCGCUACACGGCCAGAGUUGUCCUAUCCAGUUCAUAUGCUUUCUCAAUUUAUGCAGCAGCCGCGUGAGCGACAUUGGGAAGCAGCUCUGCGGGUAGUUCGCUAUCUGAAAAGUAACCCUGGUCAAGGUGUGCUUUUAAGAUUAGAUUGUGACUUGCAACUUUAUGGGUGGUGUGAUUUUGAUUAGGCAAGCUGCCGUCUAUCUCAGCGUUCUUUAUCUGGGUGGUUUGUCAUGCUUGGAUCCUCUCCUAUAUCUUGGAAAUCUAAGAAACAACACACAGUUGCGCGGUCUUCUGCUGUGGCCGAGUAUCGUGCCAUAGCAACAAUUACAUGUGAGCUCAAAUGGCUUAAAGGGUUAUUGAUGUCUCUCAGAGUUGAUCACUCACAACCCAUGCACCUGUAUUGUGACAGCCAGGCUGCUCUUCAUCUAGUUGCCAACCCCGUGUUUCAUGAACGGACCAAGCACAUCGAAGUUGACUGUCAUUUUGUUCGAGGCGAAAUUCAACGAAGAAACAUACGGCCUGCCUAUGUGUCUACUACUAUUUAGCUAGCUUAUAUCUUCACAAAGGCACUUGGCAGCAAAGAGUUCGAGUUCCUUCUUCACAAGUUGGGCAUUCGUGAUCUCCAUGCUCCAACUUAAGGGGGGGUGUUAACUCACGUGUGUGUAUAUAUAUAUAGCAAGUCACGUGUAUAUAUUAUUGGUUGUUAUAUCUUUCCUAGUUUGAUAGGAUUUCCUUGUGAACUAGGGUAAUUCUUAUCUAGGGUAAUUCUUAUCAACUAAUGUACAUAUAAAUAUUGAUCAAUAGAGAACAAAGAGAAGGACAAAAAGGGUGGUUUUCCAUCGUGAAUUUCUUCAAUAAUCAUUACAAAAUUUGUUUGAGAAACUGAUAUUUGGAGUUGAGUGGAAGAAAUUAAAAAAAUUAGAAAAAGGACAUUUUGGAAAUUAAAAUGUUGAAAGAUACAAAGCUCGCUUGGUGAUCCUUGGGAACAAGCAAGUUGAAGGAAUUGAUUACACAUAGACAUUUGCUCUUGUUGCAAAACUUGUUAUAGUUCGAACUUUUCUGGUUGUUGCUGCGGCUAGGAAUUGGGAGCUUCAUCAGAUGGAUGUUCACAAUGCUUUCUUACACGGUGAGCUCAAUGAAGAAGUUUACAUGCGCCUACCGCCUGGUUCCACCUCAAACAAAUCUGAAAUGGUUUGUCGUCUAAGAAAGUCAUUAUAUGGAUUAAAGCAAGCUCCACGUUGUUGGUUUGCAAAGUUGGCAGCGACUUUGAAGACUUACAGCUUUGCUCAAUCGAGCUUAGAUUAUUCUCUCUUUACCUUGUAUCGGGAUAGCAUACAUAUACUUGUGAUUGUGUAUGUUGACGAUAUAAUUGUUUCGGAAAACAACAGCGAAGCUAUUCGGGUGUUCAAGAUGUAUUUGAGUGAUUGUUUUUAUAUGAUAGAUUUGGGUCCAUUGAAAUAUUUUUUGGGUAUUGAAGUUGCAAGAAAUCCGACAGGAAUCUUCCUGUCUCAGCGGAAGUAUGUGUUAGAUAUUAUCUCUAAGGCGGGACUACUUGGUGCAAAACCGGACCCAUUUCCCUUGGAACCGAAUCAUCAGCUAGCUUUGGCCGAAGGCCUUUAUUUUUCUGAUCCUGUGAAAUAUCGACGACGCUUAGGCAGAUUAAUUUAUCUUUCCGCUACACGGCCAGAGUUGUCCUAUCCAGUUCAUAUGCUUUCUCAAUUUAUGCAGCAGCCGCGUGAGCGACAUUGGGAAGCAGCUCUGCGGGUAGUUCGCUAUCUGAAAAGUAACCCUGGUCAAGGUGUGCUUUUAAGAUUAGAUUGUGACUUGCAACUUUAUGGGUGGUGUGAUUUUGAUUAGGCAAGCUGCCGUCUAUCUCAGCGUUCUUUAUCUGGGUGGUUUGUCAUGCUUGGAUCCUCUCCUAUAUCUUGGAAAUCUAAGAAACAACACACAGUUGCGCGGUCUUCUGCUGUGGCCGAGUAUCGUGCCAUAGCAACAAUUACAUGUGAGCUCAAAUGGCUUAAAGGGUUAUUGAUGUCUCUCAGAGUUGAUCACUCACAACCCAUGCACCUGUAUUGUGACAGCCAGGCUGCUCUUCAUCUAGUUGCCAACCCCGUGUUUCAUGAACGGACCAAGCACAUCGAAGUUGACUGUCAUUUUGUUCGAGGCGAAAUUCAACGAAGAAACAUACGGCCUGCCUAUGUGUCUACUACUAUUUAGCUAGCUUAUAUCUUCACAAAGGCACUUGGCAGCAAAGAGUUCGAGUUCCUUCUUCACAAGUUGGGCAUUCGUGAUCUCCAUGCUCCAACUUAAGGGGGGGUGUUAACUCACGUGUGUGUAUAUAUAUAUAGCAAGUCACGUGUAUAUAUUAUUGGUUGUUAUAUCUUUCCUAGUUUGAUAGGAUUUCCUUGUGAACUAGGGUAAUUCUUAUCUAGGGUAAUUCUUAUCAACUAAUGUACAUAUAAAUAUUGAUCAAUAGAGAACAAAGAGAAGGACAAAAAGGGUGGUUUUCCAUCGUGAAUUUCUUCAAUAAUCAUUACAAAAUUUGUUUGAGAAACUGAUAUUUGGAGUUGAGUGGAAGAAAUUAAAAAAAUUAGAAAAAGGACAUUUUGGAAAUUAAAAUGGAUAUUUGAUAGAAAAGGGGCUCUAAAAGGAAAUCAAAGGGUGCUAAUAGUCCUAUUAUUUUAGAAAAAGUAGAGGAAUGGGCAAGUCUAGAUCAAUUCUUUUAGAGCGAAGCUCCUACCACCCUUUUAAAACUAUGUGAAACCCCACGUAUUAUAUGUAUUACUCUUAUUUUGAUAAAAUUUAGAGAAAAGGACAAAAGGUUAUAAUAGAGUUUAAUUAAUUAUGAAACAUAAUUUUUUAUAAUAAAAACAUAUAAUUUAUUGCUAUAUUGCCUCAUAAUUAUUUUGACUUUAAAAUAAUUAUUUAUGUCACAUAAAGAUGGGUUCAUGAUUUGUAAGUAUAAAAAUAUUUUAAUUUAAGUUAAAUUCAUAUUUAUCCUUUUAUGUAAUUUUCUCAAACUACUACAAAUAUAAGGUUUUAUAAGAAUUUUGAAAAGCGACCAACCAAAGUAGACUAUUUGAAAACCAUCACGUCAAGCCAUGAGGACAGUUAAUUGGAUUUUCUUAAUGUGAAUGCUCAUUUUUUUAAAAUUCCAGUCAAAGCUAUGCAUUGAACAAUUUGGCACCAUGAUCACCUCUGUAGGUUUCCUUAGUCUACAAAUACUAAAGUGAUCCGUGAAUUAUUUUGUCUCCGUUUCCAAGUAUUAGGUAGAAUUAAUGUACUAGGCAUUUUAGCCCUAGGAUAUGUGUGCGUGUGUGUAACAUAUAAAAGUCAAACACGUGAUUUGAAAAUUUUUCAAAGUUUAGAGAUAUUAGAUAGAUUUAGCCCCAGGAUAUCGCAUGAUAUUAAUGAUAACGAGACAAAGGCUUGAAAAAUCAAACAUUAAACACAGCGACACAAUGGCAUGAAAAAUCAAAGCAAACGAUAAUGUGUUUCAAAGGUUUAUCCUUUCUGUGAGUGAUAGGACUCCAUAAAGUAGAAAUUGAAGCAUGACUGAUCUAUACUUACCAACUAACUAAAUUAAGAUUAUGUUUGAAAAAUCAUACAUAACUUGGAAAAUAAUUAGGUCAUGUUUGGUUUGAAGAAAAGGAAGGAGAGGAAAAGAGUGGAAUGGAGAGGAAGGGAGAAGAAAAGAAUGGAAAAGAGUAGUGAAAUUAGAUUUUAUUGUUUGAUUUGAUAUAAAAUUUGAUAAAGAAAUGAAUUAUAAUUUUUUUCUUUAGAUAAAUUUAUCAUCUACCUUAAAUAUUAAACUAUUUAUGUUAGUAAUUAAAAAAAUAUAUACAUAAAAUAAAAUGGCGGUCCGGUGGCUCGCGGUGGAGGUCCGGCGAAUUCCGACGGUGGUCCGGCGGCUGUCACCCUUCAAUAGCCGAAUGCCUCCUCACUAAAGAUGAUAAGAGGUAGAAAAAUGAUAUUUAUUAAUAAUGCUUAAAGAACAGGCCAUAGAAACAAUUAUAAAACCAUAUGGUGUUGGCGUGAUUUUCAUUGGUUUUUUUAAUUAAUUGUAACACCAUAUGAUGUUAACUUAUUGUUAUCAUUAUUUAUUUAUUUAUUUUUACAACUGUAAGAUUAUAUGGUAUUAACGUGUUUUCUUUUGUCAUUAUGAAAAUUCUUUCUGGAUGAUGAAUAUUAUCACUCUUAAGAGGUAAGAUACUGAAAAAAAAAGUAAAUGAUAUAAUCUAAUCAAGUGAUCGUUCUCAAUCAUACACUAAAUCUAUCAAAUAUAUCCCUUAAAGAAACGGUCCAUAAAGCCUUCUUCUAGAUAAUAAUGUUUAUUACUCCAAAAAUGCUCCUGAAAACGCAGUUUAAAGAAAAAAAAAAAUAGUGGUAAACAACAAUAAAAUUUGUGAAGUGGACAACUAUUAUGGCAUUUUGCAAUAAUUGAGAAAUUUAAAUCAUAAGUGAUAUAAGAACUUUCUCACUAGUCAUACAGGAUAUUACUGUAUUAGUAUAAAUAAGCCAUUAGACGACCACAAUCCUCAUGGUUUUCUUGCAGGAAUAGAAAAUGGUUCUCUCGGAUGACACCAAAACAUCUUCUGAAAAUGGGUCGGAAAUCGACAGGGAGCGCAAGGCUUUUGAUGAUACGAAAGCCGGUGUCAAAGGACUAGUGGACGCUGGAGUAGUGAAUAUUCCCAGGAUAUUCAUUCGACCACCUGGAGAGCUUGCUGAGGAGUUGACGACUCACCAGGGGAAAUUACAAGCGCCAGUUAUCGAUCUUGAUGGCAUCAGAUACAAUAAACUUGAAGAUAUUGUUGAUCAAGUUCGGGCUGCUUGCGAAACAUGGGGUUUUUUCCAAGUUAUCAAUCAUGGGGUUCCCUUACACCUGAUGGAAGAGAUGAUUGAAGGAGUUCGCAAGUUUAAUGAACAAGAUGUUGAGGUGAAGAAACAGUUCUACACACGUGAGCCCACAAGAAACGUUAGAUUCUACAGCAACUUUGAUCUGUAUCACUCACGAACCGCAAGUUGGAAGGACACGUUGGCCAUUUUUACUUCGGGUACCAAAAGUUUGGAACCCAAUGAAUUGCCCAAAGUUUGCAGGUAUAUACAUAAUCGAUCCGUCUCUGUAUAUACAUUGCUGGUUAAUUAAGAGCCCUUUUUAAUUAAUGUUCAGUAUAUUGUAACCAGCCAUCAUGAGUUGUGAUAUCAUAUUCUUCUGUACAAUCGUUCAUCCGAAUUUGCAGAGAUACCAUAAUGGAGUACAUAAAAGAAGUCUCAAAAUUGGGUGAGACUCUGUUUGAAAUACUAUCAAUGGCUCUAGGACUGAAGCCUGAAUAUUUGAACGAUAUGGGAUGCUUCAAUAUAUACGGCUUUACCUGCAACUACUAUCCGCACUGCCCACAGCCAAAGCUGACUUUGGGAGCUAAAAGGCACUCUGAUCCUUCAUUCCUUACAAUUCUGUUGCAAGACCAAAUCGGUGGCCUUCAAGUCUUCUAUGAAAAUCAGUGGAUUGAUGUUAACCCUAUAUCAGGAGGCUUGGUGGUAAAUAUAGGGGACUUUCUCCAGGUUUGUCUUUGAAAAUAACGGAGACAAUUAAUCUUCCCAUCAUCUGCUUAUUUUUCGUGUUUUAACAGUAACUAUAUAUGCUAAUUAAAGUUUUCAAUAAUUAAUCAAUUCAGG